GUUGGAGUGGAGCUGAAGAGAGUUUGAAGACGGAGAGUCUGGAAACCAGAGAGUUUGGAAGGUUGGAGCUUGAAAGCUUGAAGAUAAGAACAUUUUGUUUCGCCAUUUGAAAGCAGCUGUUGCAAAAAUUUUAGCAGUCUCACAAGAUCUUCCUUCACUUCACAAUAUCAGGGCUGCAGCAGAAGGACAUUAUCACACAAGGAAGAGUGAUGGAAGAACAG
rnacentral:lncRNA from 11 species